UUGGGGAGAAAAGUGCUGAUUCAGUGCAAAUUUGGGCUGAUUUUGGGGUGAAUUGGGGCAGAUUUGGGGCACAUUCAGGGUCAAUUUUUGGGCUAAAUUGAUGCAGAUUUAAGAGCAAAUUUGGGGCUGAAUCGAGACCCCAAAAAAGAGUGGGGACCCCAAAAGGAGAGCGGGGAGGACACAUUGUACUGUUUCAUUUUGGGGACAAAAGGGGCAGAUUUGGGGCUGAUUUAGGGCUGAAAUGAUGCAGAUUUGGGGCUGAAUUUAUGGAGAUUUGGGUCAGAUUUGGGACCACAUAGAGAAAGGAGAGGACACCUUGUGCCAUUCCAUUUUGGGGACGAAAAGGGCAGAUUUAGGGCUGAUUUAGGGCUGAAAUGAUGCAGAUUUGGGGCUGAAAUGACGCAGAUUUGGGGCUGAAAUGACGCAGAUUUGGGGCUGAUUUAGGGCUGAAAUGAUGCAGAUUUGGGACCCCCAAUAAAGAAAGGAGAAGACACCUUGUGCCAUUCCGUUUUGGGGUCUAAAAGGGCAGAUUUGGGACUGAAAUUAUGCAGAUUUGGGGCUGAUUUAGGGCUGAAAUGGUGCAGAUUUGGGGCUGAUUUAGGGCUGAAAUGGUGCAGAUUUGGGGCUGAUUUGAUGCAGAUUUGGGUCAGAUUUGGGACCCCCAAUAAAGAAAGGAGAGGA